rnacentral:rRNA from 1 species
AUGCAGGUCGGGUUACCCAAUGUUGGCAAAUCAACUUUCUUUAACAUAAUAACAAAGGUGGGCUCCCGCACUGGCGACUCCAGGCUCGCGGUGAAGAAGAGCAGGGCCGAGAAGGACCCCAACAAGCCCAAGCUCCCCCGAGUGCCUUCUUCAUCUUCAUCAGGUGCUCUGCUCUUGCACACGUCAGGCACCGUCUCCGGCGUGGUGGUGCUUUUUGAGGCGACUGGCGUGAUGGCGGCUGUGUACGGCAGCAACCACAAGCUUUCCGGUGAGUCGGCUCCAUCUUCUAGCCCUAGCUCCCACUUUUCUGCUCCUAUAGCAUGCUCUAUUGGUUUAGAACACUAG